rnacentral:rRNA from 1 species
GAUGAACGCUGGCGGCGUGCUUAACACAUGCCAGUCGAACGGAAAGGCUCCUGCUUGCAGGGGUACUCGAGUGGCGAACGGGUGAGUAACACGUGGGUGAUCUGCCCAGCACUUCGGGAUAAGCCUGGGAAACUGGGUCUAAUACCGGAUAGGACGAUGGUUUGGAUGCCAUUGUGGAAAGUUUUUUCGGUGUGGGAUGAGCUCGCGGCCUAUCAGCUUGUUGGUGGGGUAAUGGCCUACCAAGGCGUCGACGGGUAGCCGGCCUGAGAGGGUGUACGGCCACAUUGGGACUGAGAUACGGCCCAGACUCCUACGGGAGGCAGCAGUGGGGAAUAUUGCACAAUGGGCGCAAGCCUGAUGCAGCGACGCCGCGUGGGGGAUGACGGCCUUCGGGUUGUAAACUCCUUUCGCCAGGGACGAAGCGCAAGUGACGGUACCUGGAGAAGAAGCACCGGCUAACUACGUG